rnacentral:misc_RNA from 1 species
AAGUCGUAACAAGGUCUCCGUAGGUGAACCUGCGGAGGGAUCAUUCACAUGAUAUACUUUAAACAAACUGUGAACUUUAAACAAAAUACUAUUCGUGUGUGUUUGUUGACUUGAUUGUCACUUUCAUACAUUGUCAUUCGAUUGAACAUAAGAUAGUUGGCUUGAAAUUGUAAUUUAUUACAUUUUCUUUCUCAGCUUUGAUUUGAUAUAACUAAACAUUUUAUCACUUCAACCAUAAAACAUAGAAACAACUCUAUGCCCUGGAUAUCUUGGUUCUC